GAUGAACGCUGGCGGCGUGCCUAAUACAUGCAAGUCGAGCGAACAGACGAGGAGCUUGCUCCUCUGACGUUAGCGGCGGACGGGUGAGUAACACGUGGAUAACCUACCUAUAAGACUGGGAUAACUUCGGGAAACCGGAGCUAAUACCGGAUAAUAUAUUGAACCGCAUGGUUCAAUAGUGAAAGACGGUUUUGCUGUCACUUAUAGAUGGAUCCGCGCCGCAUUAGCUAGUUGGUAAGGUAACGGCUUACCAAGGCAACGAUGCGUAGCCGACCUGAGAGGGUGAUCGGCCAGACGGGAACUGAGACACGGUCCAGACUCCGACGGGAGGCAGCAGUAGGGAAUCCUCCGCAAUGGGCGAAAGCCUGACGGAGCAACGCCGCGUGAGUGAUGAAGGUCUUCGGAUCGUAAAACUCUGUUAUUAGGGAAGAACAAAUGUGUAAGUAACUAUGCACGUCUUGACGGUACCUAAUCAGAAAGCCACGGCUAACUACGUG
rnacentral:rRNA from 1 species